AGAUACCCUAUUAUUUUAAGCUAUAUAUUGGUAGUAAUUAAUAAUUUAUGAAAUCAUAAGAUUUUGGCGGUAUUUUAAGCUUAUUAGAGGAAUUUGCUCUGUAAUGGAUACAACGCCUUAAUCUUACUUAAUUUGGUUUUAAAGUCAGUUUGUAUACCACUAUAUUUAAUUAUAUUGAAUAAUUAUAUUUAAGAUUUUUUUUUUAUAAAAAAUAUAUUAAGUCAAGGUGCAAUUUAUAAUUAUGAAUGAAGUGAAUUACAUUAAUUUUAAUUUUACUUAAAUAUUGAAAAAAAAUUAUAGGAUUUAAUAGUAAAAUG
rnacentral:rRNA from 1 species